rnacentral:rRNA from 1 species
AACGAACGCUGGCGGCAUGCCUAACACAUGCAAGUCGAACGAACCCUUCGGGGUUAGUGGCGCACGGGUGCGUAACGCGUGGGAAUCUGCCCUUUGCUUCGGAAUAACAGUUAGAAAUGACUGCUAAUACCGGCUGAUGCCUUCGGACCAAAGAUUUUUCGGCAAGGGAUGAUCCCGCGUAGGAUUAGGUAGUUGGUGGGGUAAAGGCCUACCAAGCCGACGAUCCUUAGCUGGUCUGAGAGGAUGAUCAGCCACACUGGGACUGAGACACGGCCCAGACUCCUACGGGAGGCAGCAGUGGGGAAUAUUGGACGAUGGGCGCAAGCCUGAUCCAGCAAUGCCGCGUGAGUGAUGAAGGCCUUCGGGUCGUAAAGCUCUUUUACCAGGGAUGAUAAUGACAGUACCUGGAGAAUAAGCUCCGGCUAACUCCGUGCCAGCCGCCGCGGUAAAAC